UACGUAGGGUGCGAGCGUUAAUCGGAAUUACUGGGCGUAAAGCGCGCGCAGGCGGCUUCGCAAGUCAGGCGUGAAAUCCCCGGGCUUAACCUGGGAAUGGCGUCUGAAACUACGGAGCUGGAGUGUGGCAGAGGGAGGUAGAAUUCCACGUGUAGCGGUGAAAUGCGUAGAUAUGUGGAGGAAUACCGAUGGCGAAGGCAGCGUCCUGGGCCAACACUGACGCUCAUGCACGAAAGCGUGGGGAGCAAACAGG
rnacentral:rRNA from 1 species